UCAGGAUGAACGCUGGCGGCAUGCCUAAGACAUGCAAGUCGAACGAGAUGGCCCAGUGAAAGUUGCGUGCUUGCACAAGACUGGAUCUGGAUCACCAUCUAGUGGCAGACGGGUGAGUAACACGUGGGUGACCUACCUUUUCGUUGGGGAUAACAGUUGGAAACGAUUGCUAAUACCGAAUAAAAUAUAAGAGUCGAUUUUAUAUUGAAAGGAGCCUUUAAAGCUUCGCGAUUAGAUGGGCCUGCGGCGUAUUAACUAGUUGGUGGGGUAAUGGCCUACCAAGGUAACGAUGCGUAGCCGAACUGAGAGGUUGAUCGGCCACACUGGGACUGAGACACGGCCCAGACUCCUACGGGAGACAGCAGUUAGGAAUAUUCGUCAAUGGAGGAAACUCUGAACGAGCAAUGCCGCGUGAGUGAUGAAGGUCUUAUAGAUUGUAAAACUCUGUUGUAUGGAAAAAACGACUAGGUUAGGAAAUGAACUUAGUGUGAUGGUACCAUACCAG
rnacentral:rRNA from 1 species